rnacentral:lncRNA from 1 species
AAUCAUUCAUCACACCUUUUCUUCUUGCUCUGAUCUUCUCAAGCAUCAGCAUGAGCCUAGCAGCUCGCCAUCUGAUGCAAACAACAGCACCAAAUUUUGCAGGCAUUCCCUCUUUGCCUAACCCAACACUGCCACCUUUGCCUUCACUUCCAACACUUCCAUCACUUCCCACCACCAUUCCAUCACUUCCACAGCUCAACCUUCCUCCAAUGCCCUCAAUCCCCACCUUCACAAUUCCAACUACUAUGCCCUCCAUUCCAUUUCUCUCCCCACCACCUUCCACCUCCUCUCCUUAAACUUUCAUUUUCUUCAUCCUUUGCUACGUUGCAUGCAUGCAAUACAUAUCCAUGGCUUCAUUCCUUUCGUUUAUGGUGUUAUCAUAGUGAAUUUGUGACAGUGUAUUGUCUUUUCGAUUUCUGAACUUGUUGUUAUUCCUUGUACUUUUUCUUAUGUAAAAGAUUGUUACUGAUUACACAGUUAUACAACUAUGAUGUCUUUCACUUUUAAAAUCUUCCAACAUAGUUUUGUUUACAUCACUCAGAGUGUUUCACUUGAGACCUUGUAUUUUAUCUUUAAAUCACCAACCGAUUAAUAUUUGACGAAACAACGUUGCUCAAAAGAAUAGAACAGCAUUAAAAUACAUGGUUAGCUUUUGCCUCUGUAUACGAGAAAGUACUAAAGAGUUAGAGAAUAACGCACUCCUAACAUUUGAUUUCAAAUAUAAACACCGUUCUUUAAGGUGAUUUCUAGGCAAAAGCUCCAUCAAUUUUCCCCCAAAAUUUGUCAAUGUUUUUAUUUAUUAAUAAAAUAGGUAAGUCAUGAGGCAUAAUCACGACUUUGCUUCAUUAAAGUCGUCUUCCAUAAGUGCUCAUACUCACACGACUUUGACUUUAAUUAUAUGAGAUUUACAUUAAAGUCUGGUUUAUACUUAAUUUUAUUUUAAAAGUGUUUGUUUUUAUUUUUUUAAAAAUAGAAUAAUUAAUUGAAUUGUUGAAAAUUUCACAAAUUUUAUAACAUUUUUUGGUUCAUUCACUUAAGAAAAAUUUAGUUAUUUUUUAAUUAAAAAAAUUAUAAACUUAAACCAUAAACUUUAAACCUAUAAACUUUAGCAAAAAUGUCACAAUUAAAUUUUAACCCUAAAUUCAAAGGUAAAACCCUAAAUAAUAAAAUAUAAAAUUUAAACUUAAACCAUAAAUCUUAAAUCUUAAAUCUUCAAUCCUAAACCUAAAACAUAAACUAAAAGCCUAAAAUGCAAAAAUGCCUAAAAAAUACUCAAAGAAAUAAAAAAAACUAAUAAUAAAUGGUUGAUUUUUUGAAAUUUUAGUAUCACAGUCCUCUUCAACCAUUGGUCAUCGAAUUCCUUACUUCAUUUUGACCAACUUUCAUUUUUAACACGUCUUGAUCCAAUUUCUCUACCAAAAAUUAUGGCCAUUUAAUUUUUUCUUUUUAUACAAAACUUUAUAAAAUUUAUCAAAAUUUUAAUAACUCAAUUAAUUAUUCCAUUUAAAAAAUUAAAAAAAAAUUAAAAAACAUCAUUAAAAUGUGAAACUAUAUUCGACCUACCAAAACAAAUUCUUAGUCAUUUGAAAUAUUGUUAGUUUUAAAGUUCGAAACUCCUUCAUAAUUUUAUUCUUAAAAGACAUAUCAAAGAUUAAAAGAAGGUGUAUAUAAGUUGUAAUUGACCUCCUUCAAUAUCGAUAUGAUACUUUUUUUUCUACUUAAGUGUAUACUAUUGAAAUGGCCUCCUUCAAUAUGCUUCUCUCGUCUUUCUUCUUCAUUGUUUUAUCACUUAAAUGUUCAAUUUAUUGCCUGAUUUGGGAAAUUCUUCUGCUGGUAUAACUGUUCCUCCGUUUCCCCCAGCCUUCACCUUUCAUGCACUCUUCCACCUUUGUCAUCACUACCUCCCACAACUACCAAUCCUUCACUAGUAGCAUUACUAUAACAUAUACAUGCUCAACAGCAGAUAUAUAUGUAGCGAUAUCGAUGUUCCAUUGCAUUUAUGCAGUAAAAUAAAAGUUCAAGCACUAUUUUCUGUCAUAGCAUAAUAUGGCAAUUCCGUGUGAACGUUUUCUAAAACUUAUUUUGGAACCUAAGACGAUAUACAUUUAUACAUGUGCAAUAAUAACUACAACUCUUGUUGUACUCAAAAGAGGAAUGCAUGCAAGAACUUUUGAAACUUCAAAUGUUCUAAGUUUUUAAAAUUCUGAAACAAAUAAUAACAAUUUAAAAAAUGAAAAGUAAUAUUAUAAAAUAUAAUAAUAAUUUGUUGAAUAUAUUGCUUAUUUAUGUAUGUUUUGAUCAGAGAAAGUUAGAAGACAAACUAUUAGAAAAACAAUUAAAAAAAAAGUAUAUUGGGUGUAAAGGGUGACGUCUGGCAGCUGAAAUGAACUCUGUUAGAUCACCCAACUCAACCCUCAAAUAUGUAUGAGUUGUUCAUCCUACAUUUGACAAAUUGGAGACUAAAACCCAACAACCUUAUCAGUCCAACAUAAUAAAACUAUUAUUUAUUCAAAAACACGAGGAAGGUGAACGAACAAAAACAUUGGUUAGGUUCUGUUCGCUUCUCCAAACAAAGUUGAACUGAAACCAUAUUAGUUUGCCCACUGUCUCUCUAGCCCUAUAUAAGACCUUCAGCCUCUCAUAAUCUCAAACAACAUACAUACCAUUUUCAUAUUUACCAGUUUCUCUUCUUCAUUACUGCAAUCCAGUGAACCAUGGCCUCCAGCAAAUCAUUCAUCACACUUUUCCUUCUUGCUCUGACCUUCUCAGCCAUGAUGAGCAUGACCCUAGCAGCUCGCCAUCUUAUGCAAACAACUGCACCAAAUUUCCCUGGCAUUCCCUCUUUGCCUUCAAUUCCAACCCUUCCUCAGGGUAAUGUUCCACCAUUGCCCACUAUCCCAUCUCUGCCACAGCCUACCCUGCCAUCUAUGCCUACAACUUUGCCUCCACUUCCUAGCAACAUCCCUACCCUGCCAUCUAUGCCUACCACUUUGCCUCCACUUCCUAGCAACAUCCCUAACAUUCCAACAAUUCCACAGCUCAACGUUCCUCCAUUGCCCUCCAUCCCCACAUUCACAAUUCCAACUACUAUGCCCUCCAUCCCAUUCCUCUCCCCACCACCUUCCACCUCCACCCCUUAAAGUACCUUACAUUUCUUCAUCCUGGGCAAGCUCCUAUCUGAUUCUGAUUUCCUACCAGUGCCUAGUUGCAUGCAUGCUAUAGAUAUGGCCUGAUUACUUUUAUGUGAGAGUGUUGUGUGGUGUUUUCCUCCUACUUC